rnacentral:rRNA from 1 species
AACGAACGCUGGCGGCAGGCUUAACACAUGCAAGUCGAACGGGCGUAGCAAUACAUCAGUGGCAGACGGGUGAGUAACACGUGGGAACCUUCCUCGUUGUACGGAACAACUCAGGGAAACUUGAGCUAAUACCGUAUACGUCCGAGAGGAGAAAGAUUCAUCGCAAUGAGACGGGCCCGCGUCGGAUUAGCUAGUUGGUGGGGUAAUGGCCUACCAAGGCGACGAUCCGUAGCUGAUCUGAGAGGAUGAUCAGCCGCACUGGGACUGAGACACGGCCCAGACUCCUACGGGAGGCAGCAGUGGGGAAUCUUGGACAAUGGGCGAAAGCCUGAUCCAGCAAUUCCGCGUGUGUGAAGAGGGCCUUCGGGUUGUAAAGCACUUUAGUUGGGGAAGAAACAGCUUGGCCACACCAAGCCUUGACGGUACCCAAAGAAUAAGCACCGGCUAACUC